ACGGGGCCCGCACAAGCGGUGGAGCAUGUGGUUUAAUUCGAUGCAACGCGAAGAACCUUUACCAGGUCUUGACAUCCCACGAAUUCAUCUGAAAGGAUGGAGUGCCUUCGGGAGCGUGGAGACAGGUGGUGCAUGGUUGUCGCCAGCUCGUGUCGUGAGAUGUUGGGUUAAGUCCCGCAACGAGCGCAACCCCUACGUUUAGUUGCUAACGCGUGAAGGCGAGCACUCUAGACGAACUGCCGUUGACAAAACGGAGGAAGGUGGGAUGACGUCAAAUCAUCAUGCCCCUUAUGUUCUGGGCUACACACGUGCUACAAUGGCCGGUACAGACGGACGCAAAGCCGCGAGGUGGAGCAAAUCCUAAAAAGCCGGUCUCAGUUCGGAUUGCAGGCUGCAAUUCGCCUGCAUGAAGUCGGAAUCGCUAGUAAUCGCAGGUCAGCAUACUGCGGUGAAUACGUUCCCGGGCCUU
rnacentral:rRNA from 1 species